CAAAGCUUAGCAGGAGAGGAGAGCCAGAGAAGUGACAGGGAAGCUACAGGUUACGACAGAUUUGUGAACUCAGCCAAGCACAGUGGUGGCAGGGCCUAGCUGCUACAAAGAAGACAUGUUUUAGACAAAUACUCAUGUGUAUGGGCAAAAAACUCAAGGACUGUAUUUGUGACUAAUUGUAUAACAGGUUAUUUUAGUUUCUGUUCUGUGGAAAGUGUAAAGCAUUCCAACAAAGGGUUUUAAUGUAGAUUUUUUUUUUGCACCCAUGCUGUUGAUUGCUAAAUGUAAUAGUCUGAUCGUGAUGCUGAAUAAAUGUCUUUUUUUUUAAUGUGCUGUGUAAAGUUAGUCUACUCUGAAGCCAUCUUGGUAAAUUUCCCCAACAGUGUGAAGUUAGAAUUCCUUCAGGGUGAUGCCAGGUUCUAUUUGGAAUUUAUAUACAACCUGCUUGGGUGGAGAAGCCAUUGUCUUUGGAAACCUUGGUGUAGUUGAACUGAUAGUUACUGUUGUGACCUGAAGUUCACCAUUAAAAGGGAUUACCCAAGCAAAAUCAUGGAAUGGUUAUAAAAGUGAUUGUUGGCACAUCCUAUGCAAUAUAUCUAAAUUGAAUAAUGGUACCAGAUAAAAUUAUAGAUGGGAAUGAAGCUUGUGUAUCA
rnacentral:lncRNA from 1 species